GGGUGAUGAUCCGAAGACACCGUCGGCUGAUCUGGUGCCUUGCGGAAGUCGGACGUCAGCUGCCAUCUCGAUGGUGUGUCGGUAUUAUGGGUUCGGCCGCUCGAUCGCUCGGAAACAGCAUGGGUCUAUUCGGCCGACACACCUUCGAUCGGAUAUUGUCGGCAGCUAUUGUUGGCAGUCAUUCGUCGGAGUCGUUGUCGG
rnacentral:lncRNA from 1 species